rnacentral:rRNA from 1 species
GACGAACGCUGGCGGCGUGCUUAACACAUGCAAGUCGAACGAAGAGCGAUGGAAGCUUGCUUCUAUCAAUCUUAGUGGCGAACGGGUGAGUAACGCGUAAUCAACCUGCCCUUCAGAGGGGGACAACAGUUGGAAACGACUGCUAAUACCGCAUACGAUCUAAACUCGGCAUCGAGGAUAGAUGAAAGGUGGCCUCUACAUGUAAGCUAUCACUGAAGGAGGGGAUUGCGUCUGAUUAGCUAGUUGGAGGGGUAACGGCCCACCAAGGCGAUGAUCAGUAGCCGGUCUGAGAGGAUGAACGGCCACAUUGGGACUGAGACACGGCCCAGACUCCUACGGGAGGCAGCAGUGGGGAAUCUUCCGCAAUGGACGAAAGUCUGACGGGGCAACGCCGCGUGAGUGAUGACGGCCUUCGGGUUGUAAAGCUCUGUUAAUCGGGACGAAAGGCCUUCUUGCGAAUAGUGAGAAGGAUUGACGGUACCGGAAUAGAAAGCCACGGCUAACUACGUG